GCAUUAUUGGUCUAAAGGCUAUGAUUUCUGAUUUCCAAUCAGACGAUAUGGGUUCGAUUCCCAUAUAAUGCU
rnacentral:tRNA from 1 species